rnacentral:lncRNA from 1 species
ACACCACUGCUGCUCUUCAGACACCCAGAACCCUCAAGAUGACAAGAGAUGGUGCUACCCAGCUCAUGCCUGGGACUUGGAACACGGACUUCUUCAAGUCUUCUAGCUCUGACUCAAGAAUAUGCUGCAUUUUGGAACCACUACACACCCUAACUCAGGAAUCAGCUCUGGAAGGUUGACCUAAAGGAACGGACGACCCACACCACCGGAAGAGCAGCCCCCGCGGCGACACCCACCCCGGCCCGGCGACUCCAUCUCUGCGGCCCCCCCCUGCCUCAGCCCCGAGACCACCGACAGCCUCCCUCCCUCCUUUUCCUCCUUUUCUGACUCUAUUUUCUGAUCUUCUCUCUGCUAUCCUUUGCUCUGGAGCCAGCCCUGGUCUCUGAGCGUGUGUAAGCGCGCGUGUGUGCACACUGCUGAAUGUGUAGGCCUCCUUGGCCCGUGCUCCCGCCCAGCACCCUUCCCACACUUGCGGGUGCCUGGGAGGGGGCCCGAGUGGGGGGGCCCGCGUGUGAGGGGCCCCGCCCGCCCGCACCGAGUCUGGAGGCUCCGAACAUCAGGAGCACACACCAAGCAUGAACGUGUGUCCAUCUUGCCUAGUGUCCCUCCCUGCCAGGGCCUCCUCAGAUGCCCUGGACUCAUCAAUAAACUCAGUUACAGGAAUUUGUCUCAGGACUCUUGCAUUUGGGAUGAACGGGGAGGGGGGGCUGGGGGGAAAUGGGGCGGGGGAACACGGGAAGGCACGGAGGGCUGCACACAGCGUGGGGGC